AUGGUGUCCGACGACUGGAAGAACAGUAUUUGGAAGAAUGAUGCGGACCAUGUGUUUGCUGAAGAGUUGCUAUCCAGUAACAUGUGGUGGACAGCCUUAGAAUGGGUUCUUGAUUUGCUUGAGCCACUCUAUGUAGCCCUCAGAUAUGCUGAUACACAAAAGAAAUGUACUCUAUCUGGUUUCAAGAAGACUAUGAUGACAGCCAUACAAAAGAUGAGUUCUCAUCUUGGUGGUGGGUCACAGAUGUUAGAUAGAGUCAUGAGCAAGGUGUCCCCGAGGAUGGAAGAUAUGCAAAAUGAGACACUAAUGGUUGCAGGUAGAUACUAA
rnacentral:rRNA from 1 species